GACGAACGCUGGCGGCGUGCUUAACACAUGCAAGUCGAACGGGUUCGGAGGUUAGAAGACAGAGGUCAGAGGUAGGAAUUAAAAAUAGAAAUCGGCUCUGCCGAUUUCAACAAAAAAUUCCGACAUCCGACUUCCGACUUCUGACUUCCGAUACUAGUGGCGGACGGGUGAGUAACGCGUGGGCAACCUACCCAUAAGCGGGGGAUAACAGUUGGAAACGCUGCUAAUACCGCAUAAGCUAUUAAGGUCGCAUGACCAUAAUAGUAAAGGUGGCGAAAGCUAUCACUUAUGGAUGGGCCCGUCUGAUUAGCUAGUUGGUGGGCAGCGGCCUA
rnacentral:rRNA from 1 species